ACUAUUCAUGUAUAUAAAUCAAAUCCAUUGCAAAUAUAUUCAUAUUGCUCAAGAAACAACAAAAGAGCAAAGUUAAUUUUGAGCUCUUAUUUUGGAUUAAUUUGAAAAUGCUUCUUCCAAAAUCUCCUCCUUAUCCAAAUUUCUACAUCCAAACCAGCCCUAACCAUUUUUACCCCCAAACCAAGCCAGCCAGCUAUGGUAAUCCUUCAGCAUGCACUGAAACGAGUUUAGUCCAUCAUUUGCCACAAAACCCUUCUGGGUUAGCUCUUUUUUUCCACUCUCAACUUCAAAGCAAAGAUAAACACCAACUAUACCAAAUUACAAACAAACAAACAGAGAUAUUAAAUGAAAUAGCAAAUUCACUGAAAACCCCACACAGGCAGUUCUUCGUCUAUAUCCAAUCAGCUACAGUUGCCGAAAUCAAAUUGCUAACUAGUGUACUUACAGUGACAAUAUCGGAAUCGCACCAAGGAAUCUGAUCUCCUCCGGUGAAAAAAUUUCCGACCGACUCGAAGAAAUUUCCGAUCUUAGCAUCCAUUGAUUUCUCUGUAAAGUGUACGUUGUGCUGCUGGUAUUGUACGCAACAAGAGGUGCUAUGUGGGGGGUUAAGAACGAAAUCAUAAAUAUAUAUAUAUAUAUAUAUAUAUAAAAGAAAAUUGCGUCAUCACAAAUCAGGAUUCCUUUUAAUUUAUUUAUUUUCAAAAUUAGUCUUCCCUUUUAUGAAGAGUUGCGACUUAUGAAAAAUUGUGACUUUUAUGAAAAGUUGCUACUUUUACGAAGAGUUGCGACUUUUAUGAAGAGUUGCGACUUAUGAAAAAUUGUGACUUUUAUGAAAAGUUAUGACUUUUUCAAAGAGUUGUGUCCUUUCCGAGAAGGCGCAAUAAACAUUUAUUCACACUAUCCUUUGUUGUCUAUAAUAGAGGGAUUUCCUCUCAUUUUAAAACAACGAAAAUACUGAACUUUUUCUUCUUCUGCACAAUUAAAUAUUCAUGUACUUUGCUCCUGUUGAGUGGCUCACGGACACCAUUGUUUUUGUAUCAAUACACUGGUGAAUAGAAUCGUUCUAUCCUGAGAGGAUCUAUUCCUUUAAACCUCGGGUACUAGAGGGGAAUAAUUUUCUUAAGGGGACAAUGUGCAUUCAGUGGAUUCGAUUUUUUCCUUUCUAUUUAAUUGUUAUAGAUCCUAGUAUUUUUUUACGAUCAGUAGUUUAUGCUUAUGUUAUUAAUUGUUAUUUUUGAGUACAUGUUUUAAACUUUGUUGUUUAUGUUUAUGCUUUUGAUCAUUAUGUUGAAGUAAAGAUAUGUUAAUCAAGAGUUUGAUGUAAUCAUUAGACUAUUGGUGUCAUGUAGAUUAGAAUUCUUAAACUUGUAAAAUAAAUGACUUUGAUCGUUAUAGAGUUUUCAGUGGCUAAAAGAUCAGUGGGAUGUCCAAGAAGGGACUUUUGAGUGUUCAAAAGUUAUGGUGGUUCCACACUACCUUGGAGUUUUAGUUAUUCAACUUUCUAUCUUAUCGAGGCAUUCAAUCGAUUAGUGACAUCCAAAAAAUAAAGAAAUUUUGAGGGAUGGUAAGUAUUGUACUCAACCUUAAUCAAAAUUUUGGGGUUCAAAUGUUGGAUUGAAGUCAAUGAAUUACCCCUCAAAGUAGGAUGAAUCCAUAUUAAUCAAAUAUUAAAGAAAUAAUUAUCUCCUUAUAAACAUUAGUUUAAAAGUCGCAAAAAAAUAAAGUUUUAAUCAUAUUGAUCAAAACAUAAACAACAAAAUAUGUUUUUUGGCUAUCAAAGUAGUGUCAUCGACUGCGAAUGAUUUUGAAUAAGGGACUUGCCAAGACAUCAUUUAAUCCAAAUUAUUUGAGCGACAUACGUUAUUUCAUUGAACUCCAAGAGACGUGUUUAUAAAUUUUAAUUAAUUGAUCAAGUACACAAAUAAUUAUAUAAGAUGUAUAAUAUUUAGAUUAUGUAUGGAUGCCUUGAAUAGGAGAAAAACUCUCGCAAUUGAUGAAUAAAAUGUUUGCACCACUUUUUGUAAAUACAAAUAUAGACAAUGAAACAAUUACAUAUCUUUUCUAAAGACUUUGAUGAUGAAUAACUACAGUAAAAUCUUUUUGGUUUUAAGAUUAAAAAAAUAUUUCAUUUCAUCUUUGGAUAAAAUUCUUGACAAUUUAUCGUAGAGUUGUACCCACUGAUAAACACUUAUAUCAUCAAAUGUUCAGAGGUAGAUUAUUGACGUAGUUCACAACCGCGCGAAGCGCGGACAAUUUACCUAGUGUAAUAUAUUAAGCAAAAUACAAACUUUAGGGGAUGUUUGGUAUAAUUCAAAAACACAUUUAAUUUUUUUUUUUAUAUAGUUUUAUAUCUAAACUAUCCCUUAUUAGUUUAAAAAAUACGCCUCUCUCUUUUAUUUAAUUUUUUUCUAAUCACAAUACACUAUAUGGACAAAACAUUCUAUCUUGAUUAGAGCUGUCAAAAUGGGCUUAGCCCAUGGGGCCGACCCAAUCCAACCCAACCUGUUAUUGGGGUAGGUCGGAAUAGGAUUUUUCAAGCUCAUUUGAAACUACGACUUAUAAGCCCUUGGCCCUUGAGGCCUGAUCGGUCGGGCUGGGGUCGAUCCAUGGGCCAAAACUAUUUAUUUAAAGGUAACUAACAACAAUCUUAUUAGUGUAUGAGCUAAUUACUUAAAUGUUGCACACAUGCAUAAUUUCAAUAAAUCAUAGUUCAUAAGUUUCAUCAUAUGUUCAUAGUAAAAAAUCAUGGAUCAUGCAUGGGUUCAUAUGAAUUCAAAUAAAAAACAUUUAACUACUUCAAUUUAUGCAUAAAAAGAUAGAAAACAAUCAAUUGGAUCAUAAUUGAAAAGAACUCAUAAAGAUUGAAUAAAACCCUAACUUUGAAUUAAGAAUUCUAACUUGUAAAACUUGAAUAAUUCAGGAACCCUAUGGAGGAAAGGACUCAGUAGGUGAAUACUAGCAUACCUUAGUGAUCAAUUCUGAAAGGCUAUGGUGAGUUGAAGAUCUUGAUGUUAAAUCCUAGCUUCUUCUUCCUUAGCCUAAGAGAGAAUUUUGGGGAAGAACUUGGACGGAAAUUUUAGAAUUAUGAGAAUGAUUUAGAAUGGGUAGUGUUUGGACUUAAUUCUCUUAUAAAGGUCUUGAAAUAGGAGUUAAAACGAUAUAACUUAGGUAUCAACAAAUAGGUGAAAGACCAAAAUGACUGCAACUUAAAAGCUGAUGGAGUUCCUUUAAAGGAAGGCUACAUAGAUCUUCUAGGUCUCCACGUUCUGUGAAACGCUCCACCAUCCGUAAUGCCAUCUGUGAAACUUUGAUUGUUUGACAGGGCUUUACUAAAACAGGCAUAACAUUUUACUCCAAACUCGAAAUGGAGAAAAGUUUGUAGCCUUAGAAAUAGGACUCAUAGACCAUUAAUAUGAUAGUUCAUAGGCCACCUAAUUCGUUAUAUGCUGAGAGAUAUAGUCAUUUGAAGUUGAACCAAGUAAAAUCUCAUAUUGAAACUAAGUCGGUAAGAAAUCUUUCAACUCAACUUUGUGCAAGGGGAUCAUAGUGACCUUAAUUCAUAUUCAAAAUUAUUCCCACACUAAAUAAUUGACAUUAAUACCUAAGAUAAAUUAAGAAUCACUCAGUAUCACCUUAUUCACGAAUGAAGAAUGGCUCGAGUCUUAACUUUGGAAUAUUUGGGGUGGUACAUAAUUCUUGCUAAGGGAACCUUAAUUCGAGAGAAUGUUGUUGGAUUGAGCUUCUUAAGGAAAAUUACCUCUAUAUUCUCUAUUAUUCGGGAAAGGCGAAUGUAGUAGCAGACACCUUGAGCCAGAAGGUAGUAAGUAUGGAUAGUCUAGCAUUCCUUUCUACUAUUGUGAAGCCUUUGGCUUUGGACAUUCAUUCCUUAUCUAAGCAGGUGAUUCAAUUGGAUAUUUCAGAUUAUAGGUGUGUCUUAGCCUAUGUGGGAAUUCAUUCAUCCUUGCUUGAUCGGAUCUGUGGUCAUCAAUUUGAGGAUGAGACUUGAGUUGUGCUUUGAGAUCGGGUGUUAGCGGGUGAUGUCAGUUAGCCUAGCUUAGAUUCAAAAUGGGUUUUGAGGUUUGGUGGUCAUAUUUAUGUUUUGGGAGUUGGGGGUUUGAUUCCUUGGAAAUGUAUCCCCAAUCUGAAACCUAGCUCAAAACCGCUUCGGAGCAUGACCGUGGCUAUCAUUUUGUAAACAGAAGGCAUAUUGUCACGACCCGAUUUCUCGAGUCAUGAUGGCACCUACUAUACCCUACCAGUAGGUAAGCCAACCCGUAACCCAGAACAUCAAACAAUGAGCGAAAGGGCAGAAACUAGUGAAAAUAAUAAUCUAAACAAGGAUAACAAGGCGGAAGCAACCCAAAAUAAAUAUAUACAGAAAUCCCUCCCAGAACCUGGAAGUCACUAGUAUAGAGUUAUUUAUUAAAGAGUACAAGUCCCAAAAGUGGACCACAACAGAGCGUGUCUCAAAGGCAACAAGACUAGCUAAAACAAAAGAAGGAGACAGAACAAACCCCAAAACGCCAAGUGCUCGCCCUCGUCUCCGAAUCACANNNNNNNNNNNNNNNNNNNNNNNNNNNNNNNNNNNNNNNNNNNNNNNNNNNNNNNNNNNNNNNNNNNNNNNNNNNNNNNNNNNNNNNNNNNNNNNNNNNNNNNNNNNNNNNNNNNNNNNNNNNNNNNNNNNNNNNNNNNNNNNNNNAAGCUCAAAUGAAACCUGAACGGACCCCCAUAAGCCCGACAGGUACACAGCAAGGCUAAGUCUACUAAGAAAGAACCACCGUGGAACGCCGUCCAUUCUAAGAUAUCACAUAAAAGGCUCCAAGCCUAUACUAUCUCAAUCCCACGCCUCGAGUGAUGCACCAAACCUUUGAGAAUGCGUCGGAAUAGCAGAAUAAGAGGGAGAAGAUACAUAAGUGCAGCAAGUAGAGAUAACGCCUAAUCUAAGGCUCAAACUAUCAUACUCAAGUCUGCUAUUCCAGUCUACAAGGAGCUAAGUCAUCCGAACGACGUCGGCAGAAAGUCAAGGCUAUCCAGCCCACACGGGUCAUAAGUCUAAGGCAAUGCUAGCCUAACCUAGACUAAGGACAUCAUGCUUACGGUUAAGGAUGAACAAGGCAUGCAAUACAUAGCAUACAAGCAUAUAAUAACAUUUAGCACAUAAGCAUGCAACUCUACUAAACCGGUUAACAUGAUACUAUACCCGAAAUGUGGCCAAUCGAUCCUAACAUAAGGUAUUUAAUCAAACUAAGGUAGUAAACUGGUACCCACCCCCAAUUCACUCCAAUUGACAUGUUUUUACACAAUUAAGCUCAAUCUAAAAGAAAGGAAGCUGUAGCCUACCUUAAGGCCGACCGCGUGCUCUCCAAAUCACUUUACCGGAGCUUUCCCUAUUCGAACGACCUCGAAAUGCUACCCCGCUAUCAAAAAUAGAGUCACAACGUUAUUAUGGUCGUUUAGACACCAAAAUCACAACAAACGGAGAUGGGUCAAUUUUGGAGUCAAAACGGGAAUCGUGGGACUCGCACCGAACUGUCCGAAUUUGACUCCGUCAAGAGACCCUAAACAGCACUCCAAACUUGUGUUCCAAAAUAGAACACAAUUCGAGGCUCAAAACACAGCAAAAACCAACAAGCAAGAAACCACACUUUAAUCAACUAAAAGAAACCAAACAACAGCAGUCUAAACUCGAAAUAAACGAGAAUCGAAAGGUGCCCAACACUCCUUGAACACUCUACGACGAAGUCACGACAAUUCUCAACAUGUGGGACUUCGAAUCACCCCAAACCGAGCUAAAAUGAGUGAGAUAUGACCAAAAUAAUAAUACCAAAAACAAAGGCUCGAAAAAGGUACUGCAGUCAGGUUUUAUCGCGAAAUUACCUCAAACGGGAACUCCAAAUCACUAUCCGAGCUCACCAAUGCGUUGUCCUAAAAAAACUCACAACUUUGCCUUUUGAAUCGCCCAAAUCGGUUGAGAGAUGAGAGAGUUAUGAGAGUUUGAAGUUUUGGGAAAUAUUGCUGAAAAUCUGCAUUAUAUUGCAGAUUUUUUGCAAUUUUUCCAACAACUAAAAACUCCGACGGGGUACUCCGAUCUCGUUCGGAACUCCGUGCACGCAAACGAGAUUUGCAACCAUACCAAGUUUGAUAUUCCGGACUCAACGACACAGUCAAAAUUUCCAUCAGAGGUCAUUUCGAUAAAAAGUGGGUCCCACUUCCAAAAGUCAUUUUAAGUCAAAACCCACAAAAGGGAUCGGAAAGAUAUCGAAAACCUCGGGACACAAAAGAAGGGUCAAUCUAGACUAAACUCAACAUUCCGGAGCUAACCACACUGACGAAAUUCUUAUCCGAGUGCGUUUACUCAGAAUGUUGACCAAAGUCAAACUUAGGCUUAAACUUAAAGUUAAAACGCCUAAUUGCACCGACUCACACUGAAAACCUCGGGAGUCAUGUCGACCAUGCUACUAGCCUAAAAUGACCUUUCCGGAGCUGAUGGAAUAGUCAAAAUUGGAUUCAAAUGUCAUCUUCUUGAACUUUUGAUCGAAAAUGAUCGUUCAAGGUUCAUAAGCCCCGAAACACAAAAACUCGCACUAAGACCAAACGAACGACCAGGUGACCGAACUGUCAGUCCCAGCAAGUCAUAAAUGACUUGGGGUCGCUAUAGAAACGCUCUAAACGACACACAGAAGGCAAGACACAGAAAUGACCAAGAGGGUCAUUACACAUAUGUGGCUGUGGAGCCAAACCAUCACCAUUGGCAUUUACCAGCUCCAUUGUGUAGAAUUCACAACCUGUAGAGAGUUCAUCAACAAUCGUGGUAUUCCCAUUGGAAUGGCUCCCUUCACCAUGAAUGACCAAUUCCUGGUCCUUCCAAACAAAUUUCAUCAGCUGGUGGAGAGUAGAAGUCACAACCCUGGCCAAGUGGAUCCAUGGUCUUCCCAGAAGCAAAUUGUAACUAUUGUUGAUGUCCAUUACCUGGAACUCAACACUAAACUCAUCAAGGCCCACUCGAACCCCCAGAUUCACCGUUCUUAACGUGUCUCUUUGUCUGCCGUCAAAAUCCCAAGUCAAAGUUUUAUUGUUUGAGAGUUGAAAGCGGACAAAUAUUAAAACUGGGCCAGUCAUCAAUCAAGACACAAUUUAUAACAUUGUCUCAGCAUUUAACAGUGAUGUGGAGAGCUUUAUUGUGCAUUGCGCCUUCAAAAGGUAGCUCUUCAUCACAAAAACUGAUGUGGUGCCUUCGAAUUACUUGGCUGACCAGUGCCGCCAUAUUAUCACUAUUUGUACCCACAGGUAUGAAAGUGACGUCCAAAGCUUUCAUGAGGGCUUGCCUGUGUAGUUGUUAGCUCAUCCACAAGGCCCUCACAAAUAUUUGAGCCGGCGUUUUCUCUGAAUGCUUCAUGAUUGAAUAAUCUUUUAGUUGUACUUUCCUCCAAAACUCUUCUACUUCAGCCUCACUAAUAGGUCUCUUUGAUUGAUCCUUCUUUUGUCAUCCUUGGACCAACUCUUCCGACGUAUAGCAUCUGCCAGAUCUAGUUAUACCCUGGGUAGUAGCAGCUUAAAUCACAAACUUCUCUCGAGGGGGAAUUUCUUUUAGCACCAAGGCAACAGUCUUCUCAGGUAUCAUAAUUAUAAAUUCCUUCUUCUCCUUUAUACACAAUGAAGCCACAGCUUUCUCGACGUCAUUUGGCCCAACCGAGACAAUCACCUUUGAUGUGCACCACUCUUACUCCAUCUCUAUCAUGUGUAUAUUGACACCUCCAUGGUUUGGAAGAGGAUUACUCUUGAUGUUAGUUGCAGCGGUUUGAAGAGUGACCACUUUCUGGGCGAUUAAGUCAUGGAUCUUGUGCUUCAGAUUGAUACAAUCCUUAGUGUCAUGCCCAACACUAUUGGAAUUAUUUGCACAUCUUUAUUCAGGUCUAUCAAAUCUAGAGAUGGUGUCAACAGGCUUGGGUCCAACUGGAUGAAUAAAAUUGUAACGACCCGAGAGCACCCCCUAGUCGUUAUCGGCGUAUAAGACCUCGAAGAGGUCUUAUACAAGCCCUUAACAUUCAUCAUAGCAUAUAUCAUAGAAUAAAAUCACGGGAAAUUUAAAACUUUUACUUUGGAAGUUCAACUUCACAUCAUAUACGAAAAAUAGAAUCUAACUUCGUCACAAUGUACCAUCUAGACAUAGAAGUAUCGAAAAUGGGACUUAGCCCUUACAUCAAUAAGAAGUCUUGAAAUAGGAAAGUACAACAAUGUCUUUCAACAUAAGCAAAGAACUAAACAUAGAAGCUAGAUCAUAUGGUCUUGUCCUCGGACUUGAGGACUCACCAACUUGGGGAAGCAACUCCAAGAGUCUUGAGAAGUGAGUUUGAAUCCUCAACGACCCAAACCUAAAUGUUUGGGGAAAAAGGAGAAAAUAUGAGUUAGUACAACACACGAACCAAGUAUGGCUACUAUGUUUAAAAACCAUUGAAACAUGCAUAAAAAGACAUUUAGUCAAAACAUGNNNNNNNNNNNNNNNNNNNNNNNNNNNNNNNNNNNNNNNNNNNNNNNNNNNNNNNNNNNNNNNNNNNNNNNNNNNNNNNNNNNNNNNNNNNNNNNNNNNNNNNNNNNNNNNNNNNNNNNNNNNNNNNNNNNNNNNNNNNNNNNNNNNNNNNNNNNNNNNNNNNNNNNNNNNNNNNNNNNNNNNNNNNNNNNNNNNNNNNNNNNNNNNNNNNNNNNNNNNNNNNNNNNNNNNNNNNNNNNNNNNNNNNNNNNNNNNNNNGUGUUCUACUCCCAUACCGAAAAGAGAGGGUUAACACUUGACUAAGGUGUAACUAUUCGUACAUAGCUAUCUAGGUGGAUCCACUAAGCUAGAGUCCUAUGUGGGCACAUAGUUAAGGGUCAAUGAGAUUGCUUCUAGAAACCCUAACAUACUAAACGUGGGGGUUUCCAUCUCAUGAGACAACACAUACCGUGGGUAAUCCAAACUUGCUAACGUGAGGAAACCCAUGCGGGGAGCCGAACUUACUAAAUGUGAGAACCCAUCUCAUUUACAUGCCCUUUCGGUGCUAAGCAUCUAAUUCCCUUUUGUAAUNNNNNNNNNNNNNNNNNNNNNNNNNNNNNNNNNNNNNNNNNNNNNNNNNNNNNNNNAAUAGCUCAUAUGUGUUCAUAAGUGAGUAACAAUCCUUUCACCUUAGAAACACUAAGCAAGUGAGUAAAACCUUUCACUUUACAUUACAUUAUAAUCAUGAGAACUANNNNNNNNNNNNNNNNNNNNNNNNNNNNNNNNNNNNNNNNNNNNNNNNNNNUUCAAGUGUAGAGGGUUAAGGAUGAGGAAACUAGGUCAUCAACACCACAACAACACAUUAGGUAUAGCAUACUUGAGUUCAAAGAAUAACCAACCUUCAUACUCACUUAGCAAGUGAGUAAACCUUUCACUUUACAUUACACUAUAAUCAUGAGAACUACCUUUCAAUCAUAUAGCAAUCUUACCAUAACAUAAAUACAUACUUCAUAGCUAAUUCUACCAUAAUAUACAUACAUACUUCAUAGCUAAUUCAAGUGUAGAGGGUUAAGGAUGAGGAAACUAGGUCAUCAACACCACAACAACACAUUAGGUAUAACAUCAUUACAAUCUAAGUAAUUCACCUUUCAUACUUGAGUUCAAAGAAGAACCAACCUUCAUACCUUCUUGCCCUUCGUGGGACAUGCAUACUUCAAUUACCAAGCAAUUCAUAACCAAUACAUAAUACAAGGUAAUUCAUGAAGUAAUAACAGAAUUAACAUCAAUAUAAGCAAUUGACAUAUUCCCUUCAUAGCCUUCAAGGCUUCAUUCAAAGACUCAGCCCUAAUUUCGUAGAAAUUAUACAUAACCUAGGGUAGAGUCAUCAAACAAACAUGAAUUACAUAACAUCACAUUCAAUUCAUAGCCUUCAAUCAAUAUCCAACACAAACUAGGGUUAGAAUUAGGAAAAAAUGGAGAAACAUGGGUCUCAUGGGGAAUUCUUCAAGAAACCACCAAUACAACAUANNNNNNNNNNNNNNNNNNNCAUAAUUGUUCAUAUAACAUCAAUAAAAGUCAGUUCAUAACAUCAAUUUCACUUUAGAAAGAAAACCCAUGUUUUUGGAUUGAAACCUAGAAAUUUGAGAUUUUGAAAUUCAUUUUGAAGGGGCCUCUUGGGGAAAGGAAUCCUAGGAGUGAUAAGCAACCAUACCUUAUUGACGAAUUAAUCACGAAAAUCUGAGUUGAAACCUUGGAGAGUUUGUUUUCUUUUUGAAGCUCCAAUCUUCUUCAAUGGAGUUCUUGAGAAGAGAAAGAGUAGAGAGAAAAAGGAACUUUUUGGUUUUGAUCUUUGGGGUUUAGUGUUUGAGUGAUAAAAGUGAGGUAAAGUGACUUAAAGAUCAUUAUAUACANNNNNNNNNNNNNNNNNNNNNNNNNNNNNNNNNNNNNNNNNNNNNNNNNNNNNNNNNNNNNNNNNNNNNNNNNNNNNNNNNNNNNNNNNNNNNNNNNNNNNNNNNNNNNNNNNNNNNNNNNNNNNNNNNNNNNNNNNNNNNNNNNNNNNNNNNNNNNNNNNNNNNNNNNNNNNNNNNNNNNNNNNNNNNNNNNNNNNNNNNNNNNNNNNNNNNNNNNNNNNNNNNGUUUUGUGUUUGAGUGAUAAAAGUGAGGUAAAUUGACUUAAAAAUCAUUAUUUACACAUCCCCUAAAGUACCCUAAAUACCCCUCACUUAGUUGGACUCUUUAAUGAAGUAAAACUCAAAUUUUGAAUUUCUGCAUUUUCGUCGCGGACUUGGCUGUUCCCAAAAGAUAUUUGGAAUUAAAUUUUGAGACAGUAGAGUCCACGACACGACUGCGUCGCGAACUGGAUUUUUUCUCCUUGGGGGGAGUAAGUGUGCGACGCGCAGCUAUUCCCUCCAAGUGCAAUUUGCAAGCUGCCUUGGCAUCUUGCAUGGCCAAGGUUGGGGUCCUCCUCAGGACCCCUUAGGGUGGCCCCGAGGCGUCGUAUUCGAAUGUUUUGACCCUAUAAACAUAUAUUUACCUGAUUUAAACCUUUUUACAAGAUUAAACCAUCAUACAACACUCCCAAACCUCCCCAAAACCUAAGGACACACUACAACACAUUCUUCUCUAGUUUCCGGACCUCUUGGUCGUUUCUUGACGUUAAGACCUUUACUAUUCCAAACCAAGUAAAUUGCAUUAACUUAGGUUUAGAAACAUCAUUUUAACUAUUUUUAAGUCAUUAUUCAUAAAGUGAGGCUCUAACUUAAGUCAUAGAAUUUUCGGGAUGUUACAAUAUCCCCCCCUUAGGAACAUUCGUCCCCGAAUGUCACUUGGACUUCUUUCUAGGGAGACAAUGACUCAAACUAGCAGCACAACAACCAGUCACAUCAACAACAUCAUAUCAUCAUAUCAUAUAGGAAUUUAAUCCAGAACAUCACUAUGCUCAAAGCUCUUUACUUCACAUAAGUAUAGGAGGAACUACCUUCUCCGUAUUCAAUGAGCAUCAACAUAUAUAUUAAGCAAUCAAUAAUACAUUUCUUUAAUAAGACAACAUCAAGCAUGCUCAUUACAACUCUCAUGAAGACAACAUCACACAACAUCUAUGGGUGCAAUUUCAACCAUGAGAAACAAAAUUCAUGAAAACUCAAAAUACAACUUAAGCAUGAAUUUUUACAAAAAUAUGCACAUACAAAGAAAUCAUGUCAUAAUCAUCAACACACAUGAUUUUCAACUUAUACCAAAUUAAGAGAGACUCUACUAACCUCAACUAUGGCUAGGGGUCGGAGGAAAAAGAUGAGGGUAGCGGGACUUCAUGUCGACCUCGGCCUCCCAUGUUGCACCCUCAACUAGGUGGUUUCUCCAUAGGACUUUUACAGAGGCAACCUCUUUAUUCCUCAAUUUCUUAACUUGACGAUCUAAGAUUUCAACCAGAACCUCUUCAUAAGAAAGGUUCUCAUUCACCGCUAAAACUUCUAGAGUGAGAAUGGACACCCGGUCACCUAUACACUUCUUUAGCAUAGAAACAUGAAAUACUGGGUGAACCGGAGCCAACUUAUUGGGCUAUUUCAACUCAUAAGCGAUUUUCUGACACGCUUCAAGAUCUCAUAAGGCCCAACAUACCGGGGGCUAAGUUUCCCCUUCUUACCAAACGUCAUCACCCCUUUCAUGGAUGAGAUCUUCAAGUAGACCCAAUCACCUACUUCAAAUUCAAGAUCCCUCUUUCUAUUAUCGGCAUAAGACUUUUGCCGACUAUGAGCCAUUUUCAACCUAUCCGUUAUAAGUCGAACUUUCUUCGUAGCCUUAUAGACUACCUCGGGACCAAGAAGAGAAAAUUCACCCACUUCAAACCACCCAAUCGGAGAUCGACACCUUCUACCAUAAAGUGCUUCAAAGGGUGCCAUAGCAAUAGUCGAGUGGUAGCUAUUGUUGUAGGAAAAUUCUAUCAAAGGUAGGUGGUCAUCCCAAUUACCUUUGAAGUCAAUGACACACGCUCUCAACAUGUCCUCUAGGGUUUGGAUGGUGCGCUCCGCUUGACCAUCCGUUUGAGGGUGAAAUGCGGUACUAAGUUUCACUUGAGUACCAAGCCCACUUUGGAUAGACCUCCAAAAAUGGGAAGUAAAUUGGGCACCUCUAUCCGAAAUAAUCGACAAUGGGGCCCCAUGCAAAUUCACAAUCUCCUUAAUGUACAACUUAGCAUAAUCUUCCGUUGAAUAAGAAACCUUUACGGGAAGGAAAUGGGAUUAUUUAGGUCAAUCUAUCCACAAUGACCCAAAUGGAGUCAUGUUUCCUACAGGUUCGAGGCAAACCUACCACGAAGUCCAUAUUAACCUCUUCCCACUUCCAAGUGGGGAUAUCAAUAUUUUGAGUUAGACCUCCUGGUCCUUGGUGCUCGGCUUUGACUUGUUGGCAAUUUGAACACCUAGCCACAAAAUCUACUGUCUCUUUUCAUUCCGUUCCACCAAUAAAUCUCACGUAAGUAACAAUACAUUUUGGUGGCUCCUAGAUGGGUGGAGUAUCGGGGCCCAUGGGUCUCAUCUAUGAUUGUCUCUCUUAGGCCAUCCACAUCCGGCACACAUAACCUCCCUUGGUGUCUAAGCAUCCCAUAUUUUCCUUGAGAGAAAGUUUCUAUUGCUUUGUUGAGAACCGACUCUUUUAGUUCCAUCAAAAUAGGGUCAAGAUGUUGUUUAGACUUCACAUCAACAACCACCGAUGACUCGGAAUUAUGACAAACCAUGACACCUCCUUUUGAGGAAUCUUCAAGUCGGACACCCAACCUGGCUAGCCAAUGUACAUCACGGGCUAACUCCAUUUUCUCUUCUUCCACAUGUGACACACUACCCAUAAAUAUGCCACUCAAAGCAUUCGCAACCACAUUUGCUUUUUCGGGGUGGUAAAGGACACUCAUAUCAUAAUCUUUCAAGAGUUCCAACCACCUCAUUUGUCGGAGAUUCAAUUCUUUUUGGGUAAAAAAUAUUGAAGACUCUUGUGGUUGGUAAACACAUCCACAUGUACCCCCAUAGAGAUAGUGUCUCCAAAUCUUUAAAGCAAAGACUACGGCCGCUAGCUCAAGGUCAUGAGUUGGAUAAUUCUUCUCAUGCACCUUGAGUUGUCUCGAGGCAUAAGCUAUAACCUUACCAUGUUGCAUAAGGACACAAUCAAAACCCACUCGGGAAGCGUCACAAUAUACUACAAACCCUUCGCUGCCCUCCGGUAAGGUCAAAACCGGAAAGGAGGUGAGCUUAUCUUUCAACAAUUGGAAGCUCUUUUCACAAGAUUUCGACCAUUCGAACUUGGACUUCUUUUGAGUUAAGGCCGUUAAUGGGGAUGCAAUAGAUGAAAAUCCCUCAACAAACCUCCGGUAGUAACCGUCCAAACCCAAAAAGCUUUGGAUGUCGGAAAGACUCAAAGGUUUAGGCCAACUUUUGACCACAUCAGUUUUCUUUGGAUCAACUUCUAUACCCUCACUAGAAACAAUGUGACCAAGGAAAGCAACCGAUCUUAGCCAAAACUCGCACUUGCUAAACUUAGCAUAGAGUUGGUGAUCUUUGAGGACUUGCAAUGCACUCCUCAAAUGAUUCAUGUGAUCAUCCUCACUUUUAGAGUAUAUCAAGAUGUCAUCAAUAAAGACAAUAACAAAUGAGUCUAGACAAUUUCUAAACGCGCGAUUCAUAAGGUCCAUGAAAGCCGCCGGGGCAUUUGUAAGACCAAAGGACAUCACUAAGAACUCAAAAUGACCAUAUCUUGUUCGGAAGGUUGUUUUCGGAACAUCAACACCUCUAACCCUAAGUUGGUGAUAUCCCGACCUCAAAUCAAUUUUUGAAAAGUAACUCGCUCCUUGAAGUUGAUCAAAUAAGUCAUCAAUCCAAGAGAGUGGAUACUUGUUCUUAAUGGUCACCUUAUUUAAUUGAUGGUAAUCAAUAAACAUACGAAGAGAUCCAUCCUUCUUCUUCACAAAUAACACCGGUGCACCCCAAGGAGAUAUACCAGAUUGGAUGAAACCCUUAUCCAACAAAUCUUUGAGUUGAGCUUUUAAUUCCGGUAAGAAGGGAUUGAGAUGGGUUGUGUAUCCGGCAAUAAAUCUAUGCCAAAAUCUAUUUCCCAUUCGGGAGGAAUCUUGGGUAAGUCAUCGGGAAAGACUUCCGGAAAAUCCUUCACUACGGGGACCGACUCCAAAGGAGGAAUCUUAGAAUCAAGAUCCCUGACCCUCACAAUAUGAUAGAGCAACCCUUAGAAAUCAGCUUACAAGAUUUUAGACAUGAAAUGAUCCUUCCCCUAGGAACAGAUUUCCUCCCUUCCAUUCUAAAAUGGGUUCAUUAGGAAAUUGAAACUUCACAAUUCGGGUCCACAAUCUAUGGACGCAAAACAACCAUGAAACCAAUCCAUCCCCAAUAUAACAUCAAAGUCUAACAUAUCAAGUUCCACUAAAUCAACCAAAGUGACUUUAUUGGGCAAUGAUAUAGGACAACCGCUAUAAACUCUUUUAGCAACUAUGGAAUCACCCAUCAGGGUAGAAACCGAAAAGGGUUCAUCUAAGACAUCGGGAAGCAUAUCAAACUGCAUAGCCACUUAAGUGACUAUAUUGGGCAAUGAUAUAGGACAACCGCUAUAAACUCUUUUAGCAACUAUGGAAUCACCCAUCAGGGUAGAAACCGAAAAGGGUUCAUCUAAGACAUCGGGAAGCAUAUCAAACUGCAUAGCCACUAAAGGGGUUACAAAAGACAAAGUGGCACCGAGAUCCAACAAUGCAUAAACAUUAAUUGAAAAUACUUGUAGUGUACUAGUCACAACAUCCGAAGAGCUCUCUUGAUCACUUCGGGAUUGGAGAGCAUAGCAACGAUUCUUCUUAGGAGCAUCGGGAUUUAGGCCACCUACUUGUGCUUGAGCAUUUUCCCUUCCUUGAGCCUUUAGCAUAGGGCAGUCCAUCCUCAUGUGGCCACUCUUACCACAACCAUAGCUAUUACCCGUGCCAACUAGGCACUUGCCUUCAUGUUUUCGACCACACUUUGCACAAAUAGGCUUCUCAACAUAAAGACCACCAUCUCUUGCUUCUUGAGGCUUGGGGGUAGACACUUUACCUUUGUUGACCCUUGGAGUGUUAGGAGGACCUUGGUUGGAAAACCUCUUUUUGAACUUUGGCUUAUCUUGGAUUUCAAACCUAACCUUAGAAGAAUUUCCAUCAUCGGCCCUUGACCUCUUCAAUUCUCUACCAACUUGCUUAAGCCUUUUCUCCUCAAUUUGUUCCGCAUGAACCAUAAGACGAGAAACGUCCAUGCUUGGGAUUAGCAUAGCCGACCUACAUUCAUUCACCACAAGAUCAGAUACCGCCAUAACAAAUUGAUUCAUUGUAGACCUAGAGUCCAACACCAAAGUAAGAGCAUGCUUGGACAAUUGAGUGAACUUGAGGCCAUAAUCCUUCACACUCAUACCCCCUCGACGGAGGUUGAUGAAUUCUUGCAUUUUCCUCUCCCUUAGUUCCAAGGGGAAACCUAUCAAGAAAAGCCAUCUUGAAUGUAGCCCAACUUAUCGGACCCUCUCUAAUAGGUCUCCCUUUCUUCCAUUGUCCAUACCACACUUGUACCACAUCUUUGAGUUAAUAGGCAGCUAACUCUGCCUUUUCUUGAGAAGACACACCCAUAGCCUCUAGAACCUUAAACACUUCAUCAAUGAACCCUUAUGGAUCUUCUUCCACUUUGGAGCCAAAGAAAGUAGGGGGAUUCAUCCUUGUGAAAUACCUUAUCCUAGAAGCAGUAGUGCUAGCAUUGGGGUUCACUUGCACCCUAGCAUCCCUAGCAACUUGAGUGGCCAACACUUAAGUCAAAUUAUGAAUAACCGACCUUAUCUCAACAUUAGACAUAACCCUUUCUUCAAUAGGAACUUGAGGGUUUUGAGGAGCUUGAGGGGGAACCGCCUCAUUCACAUUCUCCUCAUCGGCACUCCUUGCAUUGUUCCUUCUUGUAUUCAUUGCCUAUAAGAACAAUAGAAGGAUUAGAAGAAAAUGACUAAAUAGAGUUAAGACACUUAGGCACAACUAUGGAAUAACAAAAGACUGAAAGUUCCUAAGCAUCUCGUAGCCUCCCAUUCAUAAGUGUGGUGUGCUUCUCACCCAUGAACAAGACUCUACUCGACGUGGUAUCUUGUGACAUGAAUCCUACAUUAUUCUCGACCUUCUGCUCUGAUACCAAGUUUGUAACGACCCGAGAGCACCCCCUAGUGGUUACCAGCGUAUUCAACCUCGAAGAGGUCUUAUACAAUCCCUUAGCAUUCAUCAUAGCAUAUAUCAUAGAAUAAAAUCACAGAAAAUUUAAAACUUUUACUUUGGAAGUUCAACUUCACUUCAUAUACAAAAAAUAGAGUCUAGCUUCGUCACAAUGUACCAUCUAGACAUAGAAGUAUCGAAAAUGGGACUUAUCCCUUACAUCAAUAAGAAGUCUUGAAAUAGGAAAGUACAACAAUGUCUUUCAACAUAAGCAAAAAAACUAAAACAAUAGAAGCUAGAUCAUAGGGUCUUGUCCUCGGACUUGAGGACUCACCAACCUAGGGAAGCAACUCCAAGUGUCUUGAGAAGUGAGCUUGAAUCCUCAACGGCCCGAACCUAAAUGUUUGGGGAAAAAGGAGAAAAUAUGGGUUAGUACAACACACGUACUAAGUAAGGCUACUAUGCAUAAAAUCCAUUGAAACAUGCAAAAAAGGACAUUUAGUCAAAACAUGCUUUUUACCAAGUAAAUCCAAUAUGCACACAAAAUAAUCAUCAUAGUCCAAACCACCAUAACAUCAUCCCAACAUGAAGACAACCCAAGCAAUACUAGUGCAAUGCAAAGAAUAGAAUCCUAUAACCCUAUUCAAAACCAAGUAUCACAUUAAGCAACCUACUUCAUGCAUACAUUCAUAAGAUCAUAUUUCAUCAUAACUUACCAUAUUCAUAAUGAUCAUACAUAACAUAGCUUCAACAUACAUAAGUCAUAAUCAUCAUAAUAAUACGAGAAUAGUACUACAACCAUCUCUUAGGAUCUCACAAGUGCAAUGUGCAAGAGAAGUCCAAUACCUUCCUUUACACUAUGUAGAAACCCUUAAGAAAGCCCUAGUAAGAGUUCACACCUUUCAUACCUUAAUUUACUUUUACAUUAGGGAAAUAUUGCAAUAACCGACAUAGACCAUGAGAACUACAUGGAAUUCGGUGUUCUACUCCCACACCGAAAAGAGAGGGUUAACACUUGCCUAAGCUGUAACCAUUCGUACAUAGCUAUCUAGGUGGAUCCACUAAGCUAAAGUCCUAUGUGGGCACAUAGUUAAGGGUCAAAGAGAUUGCUUCUAGAAACCCUAACUUACUAAACGUGGGGGUUUCCAUCUCAUGAGACCACAUACCGUGGGUAAUCCGGCCUUGCUAACGUAAGGAAACCCAUGUGGGGAGCCGAACUUACUAAAUUUGAGACCCCCAUCUCAUUUACAUACCCUUUCGGUGCCAAUCAUCUAAUUCCCUUUUGUAAUCAUCUUUAGCUAUCACAUAAGUUCACAUUAGCCUUUACUAAACUCUUAUGUAGACAUCUUACCAUAAUAGCUCAUAUGUGUUCAUAAGUAAGUAACAAUCCUUUCACCUUAGAAACACUUAGCAAGUGAGUAAAACCUUUCACUUUACAUUACAUUAUUAUCAUGAGAACUACCUUUCAAUCAUAUAGCAAUCAUACCAUAACAUACAUACAUACUUCAUAGCUAAUUCAAGUGUAGAGGGCUAAGGAUGAAGAAACUAGGUCAUCCACACCACAACAGCACAUUAGGUACAACAUCAUUACAAUCUAAGUAAUUCACCUUUCAUACUUGAGUUCAAAGAAGAACCAACCUUCAUACCUUCUUGCCCUUCAUGGGACAUUCAUACUUCAAUUACCAAACAAUUCAUAACCAAUACAUAAUACAAGGUAAUUAUGAAGUAAUAACAUAAUCAAUGGCAAUAUAAGCAAUUGACAUAUUCCCUUCAUAGCCUUCAAGGCUUCAUUCAAAGACUCAGCCCAAAUUUCAUAGAAAUUAUACAUAACCUAGGGUAGAAUCAUCAUACAGACAUGAAUUACAUAACAUCACAUUCAAUUCAUAGUCUUUAAUCAAUAGCCAACACAAACUAGGGUUAUAAUUAGGAAAAGAAGGAUAAACAUGGGUCUCAUAGGGAAUUCUCCAAAAAACCACCAAUACAACAUAAAUUCAUACAUAAUUGUUCAUAUAACAUCAAUUAAAGUCAGUUUAUAACAUCAAUUUUACUUUAGAAAGAAGACCCACGUAUUUGGAUUGAAACCUAGAAAUUGGAGAUUUUGAAAUUCAUCUUGAAGGGGCCUCCUAGGGAAAGGAAUCCCAAGAGUGAUAAGCAACCAUACCUUAUUGACUAAUUAACCACAAAAAUCUGAGUUGAAACCUUGGAGAGUUUGUCUUCUUCUUGAAGCUCCAAUCUUUUUCAAUGGAGUUCUUGAGAAGAGAGAGAGAGUAGAGAGAGGGAGGAACUUUUUGGUUUUGAUCUUUGGGGUUUUGUAUUUGAGUGAUAAAAGUGAGUUAAAGUGACUUAAAGAUCAUUAUAUACACGUCCCCUAAAGUACCCUAAAUACCCCUCACUUAGUUCAACUCUUUAAUGAAGUAAAACUUAAUUUCUGAAUUUCUGCAUUUCGUCGCGGAACAACUCCGCGACGCGGAGCAGUACCGAGAAGAUAUUUGGAAUUAAAUUUCGAAACAGUAGAGUCCGCGACACGACUGCGUCGUGUACUGAAUUUUUGCUCCUUGGGGGAGCAAGUGCGCGACGCACAACUAUUCCCUCCAAGUGCAAUUUACAAGCUGCCUUGGCAGCUUGCUUGGCCAAGGUUGGAGUCUUCCUCGGGACCCCUUAGGGUGGCCCCGAGGCGUUGUAUUCGAACGUUUUCACCCUAUAUACAUAUAUUUACCUGAUUUAAACUUUUUUACAAGAUUAAACAAUCAUACAACACUCCCAAACCUGCCCAAAACCUAAGGACACACUACAACACAUUCUUCUCUAGUUUUUGGACGUCUUGGUCGUUUCUUGACGUUAAGACCUUUACUCUUCCAAACCAAGUCAAUUGCAUUAAUUUAGGUUUAGAAACAUCAUUUUAACUAUUUUUAAGUCAUUAUUCAUAAAGUGAGGCUCUAACUUAAGUCAUAGAAUUUCUGGGGUGUUACAAAAACUUACUGCAGUCAAUCUCUCGAAUAACUUUGUUCGGAUUUUGAUAAGAGGAGUGAAAUUUCUAGCGGACUUCUUCUCAAAUAUCAGACGAGGAGGAUCGUAAUUGCCUUAUUGAGGGGGAGGCAUUUGACGAUAGUUUGCAGCAUUUUGAUGGGGGUCUUGAUACCUUUGAUAUGAAUUGGUUUGGUAAUAUGGUUGUGGAGCUUGGUAGUUUGGAGGGGUAUUUUGGUAAUAUGGAGGUGGGGUUUGAUAAACUGGGGGAGGAGCUUGGUAAUUUGCUUGCACAUUUUCACAGUUAGAGGCAACAUUUCGAUAGUGAGGAGAUUGAGUUUGAUAAACUUGAGGGGGAGUUUGGUAAACAGAAGGAGGAGUUUGGUAAACAAGAGUAGGGGUAUUUUGGUAAUUUGGGGAAGGGGCAUUUUGAUAAUUCGAGGAUGGGGUUUGAUAAUCAGCAUGUACAUAACAAGCUGGGUAUUAACUCUGUAAAGGUCGACAACGACCUUGGUACAAGGAGGAUUUUCUUGAGGGCUUCUUCCCCUCAGAUGCAUAAGAAAUAGAAGACACGUCUUCUCUCUUCUUCUUCAACAACCCCAAGGAUCCGGACGAGCCAGCAACACGGGUAAUCUUUCCGGUUCUUAGUCCGUCUUUGAUAGUCUCACCAACCUUGACUAUCUCGGUGAACUUUUCUCCAACGAGAAACAUGAUCCUAUCAUAAUACUCGGGCUCCUGAACCCUGACAAAUACUUCAACAAUUUCUUUCUCAGACAUAAGAGGUCAAACCCUAACUGCCUCCUUUCUCCAUCUAUACGCAAAUUCUCUAUAACUUUCUAUCUAAUUUUUAUUCAUCUUCUCUAAGGAAAAAUGGUCAGGAAUGAUCUCUACAUUGUAGGCGAAUCUUUCAAUAAUUUCCUUAGCUAGAGCAUUCCAACUAGGCCAUUUCCUCGUUUCUUGAGAUGUAAACCAUUCCAGGGCUUGUCCAUUCAAACUUUGGCUGAAUAUCCUCAUUAAUAAGGCUCCAUUUGUUCCAACUCACAUGAGCUGAUCACAGUAGGCCCUCAGGUGCACGAAAGGAUUCCAUGUUCUUUCGAAUAUAUCAAAUUUUUGCACUUUAAACCCUCUCAAGAGGUCCAGAUUCAGAUGGAUACACAGAUCCUCAUAACUCAACCCAGAGACUUCAGGAAUGCGGUGCAGCUCCUUUAAGUCUUUUCUGAUCUCUUCUUUCAUAUCCAGCUUAGCUACCUAUUCCUUUGCCCUUCACUCUCUCUCAUGUUUGUCAUAAUGAUCGAGUUCAGAACAGUUGGCGUAGGAUUCAUUUGGGAUUGGGAUUUGGAAAGUAGUCUUUUAAGGCAAUGGUGAAACAAUGGAGGGAUUUUGGGUAUUUGGGGGGGGGGGGGCUGGUAAUUUUGGAGGAAUGUCUGGGGGUUGGUAUGCUUAUUUUGGUGAUGGGGGAAGGGUUGGACGUUGUUAACAUUUUGGUUUUGAGGGGGAGGACAAGUUUGCGGGUUGACAUUUUGAGGAGGAAGUUGCGCUUAGAGGUUGGUAGCUUGAGGAGAAGGUGGUGCUUGGUAAGAGACGGAGGUAUAAUGCAGAUUUGGGGUGGUUUGGUCGAAGGUUGAGGGAUUUUGAGUAGGACUUGAGGGUGGGUUCUGAGCCUGUUCCGCGUUUGAAGGAGGAAAGUAGAGUGGAGGUAUUUCCAUCUCCUGGAGGGUUGAAAGCGAAAAUCAGAUAAGGCAAAUCUUUCCUUAUCUGCAUUUCGACCCUCAUUUUGGCGAUAUGCUGUAUCAACUACAUAAUUAAUUUAUUUUGAUCAGCGACAGCGGGCUGAGCCAUGACAACAUCAGUCAGGACAAUCUCUUCAUUGUUAUCACCCAUUACUGGUUUUUCUUUCUCUGAACUUUGAUCGGGGAAGGAAUCUUUGGUAGCCUUAGAUCUUGUGAAAUAAGGAUGACCAGCGAGCUUAUCAACAUAGAUUACUUCUAAGUACCUGUAGAAGAAAAACAAUUCAAAGGCGAACCUGUUAGUUUUAAUUCAUGAAAAGAUCAUGCAAAAUAUCACAUAGAAAGUAUAUAAACACAUAAGAGUUGCUUUGUUUGAGGACCUAUUAACCCACAAGUAACGUGGACUGAAAUUUUUGAAUAAACAGGAAUUUGCUCAUUUUAUUUUGCGACUAGUGAAUCAGAAAGAUUGAUCUGCGUUGAACUAAGGUCUUCUUGUUGCAUCUCUCGGCAUCUGUUGAUGUGAACUCAAUAUUUCCUUGUAAAAUGAGGGGAGAAGAAAGUUUUAAAAGGAUAAGGGCCAGGCCUUGAAAGGCUGCCUACGUAUCUCCAAAGGAGAAUUCAAUCCCUACGUAGUUCGAAUACAAAGGGAAUUUUGGUUUUCAUUCAUUCAUUUCUUGAUUACAAGUUAACUGAAAACAUGCAAUAAGACUUCUGAACAUAAAUUGUGCCUUUGUCAAGGCUUCUUCUUCGGACAAGUCAAAGCAUUCUUUCUUCCGCAUGACAACAAAGGGAAAUUUGACUUGGAUCCUUCCCUUGUUGAUUAGGGACUCUGCAUCAUAGCAGAAUAUGACGCACUUUUCAAUGUUGUGAUCCCCGGUGCCGUGAUAGGGGCAAGCUUCAAAGAUUUCACCUUCAAAGGCAGAGACCAUUCCGGUCUUCUCUUUGGUAGGGGUGAGGAUCCCUCCUCGAACCAACUUAUAGUAGACAGUCCAUUGUGGAUCUUCAAAAGGUGUGAAGUAGUGACAGCGAAACAAAGUAUGCUCUGUGACCAGCAUACCAGUCUCCAAUUGAUCACAAGUAAGGAGAGUAUAAUUACCCAACAGACGACUAAUAUUCUCAUUGUUGAUCAAGUCGUGGAUCGCGGUCUUCCAUUUCACACAUUCCUCUAUCGUGUGCCCCUUUUGGUCUGUAUGGUAGGCACAUGUCUUAUGUGCAUUUUCAUGUUCAACCCUGGAAGUGGUCUCUUCGAGGGGUUGCAGAAUGCCUAAGGCCUUGAGAUUCUCAUAAAUGAGAGCACACAAAAUGACUUUUGCCCCACACUAUGGUUCUGACAUAUGCCCGGAGGGUGAUUUUCUCGUCUCCUUCUUUCAAUCGUCCUCGGAAAGGAAUCAUGUCAUUAACUUCUUCUUCGGGUUCUUCUUCAUUAACUUUAGGUUUAGGGUCUUCGGGAAUGGUGACAUUAACCUCUUUAUCAAGGAAAGGGUAUUUUUCGCGCAGCCUCUACUUCUCUAGUGUUGCAUAGUUUUUUUCUUCAGCGUAGCAGCUAUCUCUUCAUCCAUUAUAGCUGAUCUCACCUUUUUAGUUUUUAUCUCCACAUCUAAUUUGGCUAGGGAGACCGCAGUGGUGAAUUCUACUUCUAUUGCCCUUUCCUCGACUUCUCGCAUCUCUUGGUUGAUCCGGUGCAGUUCCAACAUUAGUUCAUCCUCAGUCAGCUCCAUUUCGAUAUUCUAGAUUCGUUCCAUCUUAGCGGUGAUUCAACCUUUCCUGAGAUGAUAGAGUAAUGUCUUAGGAUUUGGUAGUGGGAUAUAGCUCUGGCUGAGAAACUCAAAAGUCGGGGAACUUUGAUUGAACAUUGAGGUAGUGGCUUGAUUUUGUAUAGAUUUUUGGAAAAUUUUCGAAAAGGAGUGGGCUAAAAUGUCCUCAUUCAAAGAAAAAAUAUCACAAAAACUGUUCAAGCACACAAACGGCUAUCGCGCGUCUUAAACAAGUAGUGGGCCCUUUUGUGCCAAAGGUAGACCUAGCGUAUUUGAAAGAUGUAUGUCUAGAGUUGAACCGUUUUGUUACCCCAAAACAAAUUUCGUAUAUAUAGAAAUAAUGUUCAAAAAGCAGAAAUAAACAGGGGUAAUAAGGAAUAAAUGAGAAAUACUAAAGGCAAGACCUACGCAGGGGUCAUUUGAAAGGAGUACCGCAAUAUAAGAAACGCAAUCCCACGCAGGGGAAAAUAACUGCAAAUACACAUAGAAAUAUCCACACAGGGGUGACAUCCACUAAGAGGUCCCCGAUGGUCCCGCUUCUAAUCUAUUUUUCUUGUUUUGUGGCAAGUAGCGCUGAAGCCUAUACUGAGUCAUUAGGCAGUAUCCGUCAUACCGACGCCCUUUUUCUUCCCAAUCUUCAAACUGCAUGUCUCCUCUCUUACCUUCCAUCCAUGAGUUGAGCGCCCCAAGAUCGCUCCUCAAGCUUUCUAACUCUUGGGUUACAAGCUCGAAGACAUAUUUAUCCUCCUCUUGCUUUCAGAGGAAUUCAUUAUGCAUUUCCCGAGCUUCCUUUUUGAAUUCUUCCAAUUCUAUCAGAGCCUCAGAUUCUUUGUCCUCCAAAUUGUGGUAGAUGUUUGGAAGUGGAAAGGAAAGGCCUUGCAAGUCAUUUUUCAUCCAAGCUUGGUGAGUUUUGACGUACCCAACAUUAAAUUGGUCUGCGGCAACAGUUGUUUUAUCCAUUCGCAUUGCUUGCUUCCAUUCUCUCAAUAUUUCUCCAGCAUUAGGGACUCUAUCAUCCCCGUGGUCGAACACAUAGACCCGGUUUGGAGGUAAGGUUUGUUUUCUCUCAAACUGCCUCAAGACCCGAAUGGGUGUAUACGGGCGGAUACCCCGAAUACUUGGUAGAGGAAGUACAACAUGUAUGUCACCUCGUGCUAUGACCUCUUUUGAGAUAAAUUGGUUGAACAUCCACUGGAUAUCGUCCUCCCUUAACUCAGAGAAAAUUUGAGCCCAUCAUUUUCUGGUUCUUCCAUUGUUUAGCUCUCCCCAUAACAGCAUCCCAUUAAAAUUCUUAAGAGUGUUAUGUUUAUUAAGGGUAUGGAGCUUUUAAGUCUCGUGUUCCUUCAACAAAUGGAUCAUUAUCCACCAUUAAAGGAGGAGGUUGCAACCCUAGAAAUAACGAUGCGCCUCCUUACACUUUCCUAGAGCACGGUACAUGUCGGAUAGGAUGACAGGUGCGAUGGGAUAAUACUUCACUUACCCUUGGUUCUCAUGCCCGUGGAACAGAGUGUUUGCAAUCAUGAUUAUUCGGGUGUUGAUAGUGAGGCUCGGCCCCUGGGGAAACACCAUAGUACCUAACAAUGCGUUAGUGAAUGCUAGGGGUCUAGUUUUGUCUCUUUCUCCGAAAGUAGUCUUGAACUCUUGGUUAUAAUUUAUACAAAAGCUCUCAUGCCUAAAUCUGACAUAGAGAUCCCUGAAAGAAAUGCUUGAUCCUAGGGUCCAUUCUCAAUCCGAGGCACUUUGCAAUGUCCUCAACAAUAGGCUUGUGAGGGAUUAUGAUAUCCUCAUGUCUUCUAGCUUUUGUUUCUAUCCCUGUACCUUUAGUAUCUAUACCAUCCCAAAUUUACUCUAUUGUUGGGGUGAUUUCCAUUGUUCCAAAUCGGAACACCAUUUUCUCACUAUCCCAAUAGCCGGUGAGGUCUUCGAUCAAUUCGGGCCACCCAACUAUGUCAAUGAGCUCUGUUAGUACUCCUAUAUAUUUGUUGAGUUCCUUUAUGUGAAACUCAUUUAGCUCAUAGUACCAUAAUUU
rnacentral:lncRNA from 1 species